rnacentral:rRNA from 1 species
GACGAACGCUGGCGGCGUGCUUAACACAUGCAAGUCGAACGGAAAGGCCCUGCUUUUGUGGGGUGCUCGAGUGGCGAACGGGUGUGUAACACGUGAGUAACCUGCCCUUGACUUUGGGAUAACUUCAGGAAACUGGGGCUAAUACCGGAUAGGAGCUCCUGCUGCAUGGUGGGGGUUGGAAAGUUUUGGCGGUUGGGGAUGGACUCGCGGCUUAUCAGCUUGUUGGUGGGGUAGUGGCUUACCAAGGCUUUGACGGGUAGCCGGCCUGAGAGGGUGACCGGCCACAUUGGGACUGAGAUACGGCCCAGACUCCUACGGGAGGCAGCAGUGGGGAAUAUUGCACAAUGGGCGGAAGCCUGAUGCAGCAACGCCGCGUGCGGGAUGACGGCCCUCGGGUUGUAAACCGCUUUCGGCAGUGACGAAGCGAGAGUGACGGUAAUGGGUAAAGAAGCACCGGCUAACUACGUG